rnacentral:rRNA from 1 species
UAUAUGGAGAGUUUGAUCCUGGCUCAGGACGAACGCUGGCGGCGUGCCUAAUACAUGCAAGUCGAGCGGACUGAUGGGAGCUUGCUCCCUGAAGUCAGCGGC